rnacentral:rRNA from 2 species
GGGUUGUGAGGUUAAGCGACUAAGCGUACACGGUGGAUGCCCUGGCAGUCAGAGGCGAUGAAGGGCGUGCUAAUCUGCGAUAAGCGCCGGUAAGGUGAUAUGAACCGUUAUAACCGGCGAUACCCGAAUGGGGAAACCCAGUGUGACUCGUCACACUAUCAUUAACUGAAUCCAUAGGUUAAUGAGGCGAACCGGGGGAACUGAAACAUCUAAGUACCCCGAGGAAAAGAAAUCAACCGAGAUUCCCCCAGUAGCGGCGAGCGAACGGGGAGGAGCCCAGAGCCUGAAUCAGCAUGUGUGUUAGUGGAAGCGUCUGGAAAGGCGCGCGAUACAGGGUGACAGCCCCGUACACAAAAGCGCAUGUGCUGUGAGCUCGAUGAGUAGGGCGGGACACGUGGUAUCCUGUCUGAAUAUGGGGGGACCAUCCUCCAAGGCUAAAUACUCCUGACUGACCGAUAGUGAACCAGUACCGUGAGGGAAAGGCGAAAAGAACCCCGGCGAGGGGAGUGAAAAAGAACCUGAAACCGUGUACGUACAAGCAGUGGGAGCCUCUUUUAUGGGGUGACUGCGUACCUUUUGUAUAAUGGGUCAGCGACUUAUAUUCUGUAGCAAGGUUAACCGUAUAGGGGAGCCGGAGGGAAACCGAGUCUUAAC